ACAUGUGACGUAGUUGAUCAGUGGCUCAGAGCGAACGCUAGCGGCGGGCUUAACACAUGCAAGUCGUGCGGAACCGUUCGGUUCAGCGGCGGACGGGUGAGUAACACGUAGGUCACGUACCUUCUGGAGGGGGAUAACCCGGGGAAACCUGGGCUAAUACCGCGUAUGUCCUUCGGGAUGAGAGCCUUCGGGCGCCAGAAGAUCGGCCUGCGGCCCAUUAUUUAAUCCUAGUUGGUGAGGUAACGGCUCACCAAGGGUACGAUGGGUAGCUGAUCUGAGAGGAUGAUCAGCCACACUGGGACUGAGACACGGCCCAGACUCCUACGGGAGGCAGCAGUGGGGAAUAUUGGACAAUGGGCGAAAGCCUGAUCCAGCUACGCCGCGUGGGUGAUGAAGGCCUUCGGGUUGUAAAGCCCUGUCGGGAGGGAAGAAUUUUGACGGUACCUCCCAAGAAAGCACCGGCUAACUCCGUG
rnacentral:rRNA from 1 species